GACGAACGCUGGCGGCGUGCUUAACACAUGCAAGUCGAACGGAAAGGCCCUGCUUUUGUUGGGUGCUCGAUUGGCGAACGGGUGAGUAACACGUGAGUAACCUGCCCUUGACUGUGUGAUAACUUCAGGAAACUGGGGCUAAUACCGGAUAGGAGCUCCUGCUGCAUGUUGGGGGUUGGAAAGUGUCGGCGGUGGUGGAUGGACUCGCUGCUUAUCAGCUGGUUGGUGGGGUAGUGGCUUACCAAGGCUUUGACGGGUAGCCGGCCUGAGAGGGUGACCGGCCACCUUGGGACUGAGAUACGGACCAGAAUGCUAGCGGAGGCAGCAGUGGGGAAUAUUGCAGAAUGGGCGGACGCCUGAUGCAGCAACGCCGCGUGCGGGAUGACGGCCUUCGGGUUGUAAACAGCUUUCGCCUGUGCCGAAGACUGCGUGACGGUAAUGGGUAAAGAAGCACCGGCUAACUACGUG
rnacentral:rRNA from 1 species